ensembl:lncRNA
CUGGUCGAUUGUAACCUGUAGGUUUGGCUGAAUUACCAUUCCGCCCAUUACCAAUAUAAACUGAAUUCUCACCUGUGUUCGAGAGGUGCUUCAUGAACCUCGUUGACCUUGUGUCUCUGAACACCUGGCCCGAAACGAAGAUACCACAAAGGAUCAAAUCAGAUUUUCAGCACUGGGCGUUGUUUGUGUGAGUGAGUUAUCCCCUUGACAGCGAGAGCAAUAGUACCUCGGGGAUUCUGCUGCGAGGCCGAAGGCUAAAAGUACUUGUGCUGAGAGCGAGGCUUUAAACUAAUUCCGUGUUCUCGGUAAGGCGUGGGCGGGGGGUGCUGGAGGAAGACAUGGUUUCCCAGGCUGCGACGCUGGCGGCUAUCCUUCAAUCAGACGGAUUCCCGAUGGCGUCGAGGGCCGUCGGAGCGGCAGGAAACUUCUCGAUUGGCCGGGACAGAACCGAGGAGACGCGUGUCGUCAGGCAGACGGAGGUCGAGAGCAGAUGUGUGGAUUCUGCUCAGCUCCAUGACAGCCAAGGCAGCAAGCUGUAAAUUCACCUUGCACCCGUAGCUCUGAUCCGUUGGGGACCCUCCAUCACACCGUGGUCCCUCUUGCAGCCAAGUCAGCGAAAGGCAUUUGGUCAAAUGGUUUCACGGCUCGAAGGAGGUGAAAGAGGGGAUCAUGAGAGAAGGAGAGGAAGAGAGCAGAGUGUCAGAAGCCUCAUCUAAACACCGUGAUUCAUCUGAGGUCGGCCAGGGAGCCACAACCCAGCAUCUCUGCUCCGGGACCCUGCUGAAGGGGCGGCGUCUCGGCUCGCUGUGUAAACAGUCUUCAAAUAAGAUCUCGGCGGUAAGCCUUCACAGAUUUCGCUCACUUCAACAAGAGGAGGCCUGGAUCCAUAUUUAGAGCUGUUCCGCUCUACUGUUGACUCUCUCCACUAGGCUAGUCUACCCGACGACACACGCAACCCCACUUAAACCACACUGCCGCUUUAAUCGAUGUCGAAAACAAGAGCUUGUUGUGUCAUUCCUUUGGCUGUUGUCAGGAGACAGAAAUAAGGCCCCGGUAGUAAAACGUAUUUUCAGGCAGACGCACUAUUGGUUAUUGUAGUGAAUGGUAAAUGGACUGCAGUUAGACAGUGCUUUUCUACCCAGUGGCCUCUCAAAGCGUUAGGGUUAGGGCCUAACAAUCACCCAUUCAUGCACACAUUCACACACCGAC